rnacentral:lncRNA from 1 species
UCCGGGGACGUGGGCAGACCUUACUGGUACCACGCGAGCUCUCGCCUUUGCUAGCAAAAGAGUUCCUCUCUUCCCAAACCUUGCUGCUACGCUGUCCACCUUAUAUGGUCUUUGAGGUUUUUUUGGAAUUCACUUUCUGGAGACUACAGCUCACAGAACGCCCUGGGCUGGACUGUGCCAGCUGUAGUUCGCGAACCAAGGACAUUUCCUGGAAAUGCAUGCGGCCACGUAUCUGUGACACAAAUGGCAGUUCUCAUGUGCGUUACGCCCCCUGGAAGGACUUGGAAAUACGGAACUUGAGUGAGCACUGGGAGAACAGAGACCCUCAUCCUGGGAGGAGUCACUCCUUCCGCAGUCAUCAGAGCCUGACAACCCCUUCUCACCAGAGGCGCUUCUUAGACCCUGACCUUGCCUGGCUCACCCAAAGGGGCAAUGGCGUUCUUUGUAUGCAAGCCAGAGCAGUCUACUGUUGGUGUAUAUUUGAAUUUUUUACUUUAUUUUUAAUAUUUAAAUUAAAUUUUAAUUUAAUGCUGUCUCUG